CACUAGGGCCCACUGACUGUCUACUCUUGGAAGGACAGGUUCCACUGGGGACUCCUGUGGGUUACUCUGCCCUUCUAGGCCAUCCUUAUCCUCCAGAUCCUCUCAUGUGUUCCCUCCAGACCAGCAAGGGAAAUUCAGGGGGUUCAGAGAGGAGAGCAUGGUGGAAGGUGCCCAGGAGCCCACAGGAGAGAGUGGGAUAGGAGUCAGGGGCUCCUCGCCUAAAACCAGAGCAGUUGUAAUUAGCCCAGGAGGUAAACACCACCCCAGAGUUUCCCACACAGCCUGGAGCAUAGUUCAGGGCAGACACCCAGGGCCCGACAGCUAUACCGCAGAGAAAUCCACCAUUAGGCAGGGCGUCUAGACAGAAGUCACACAGCCAGGGGAGGCCUGAGGACUGAGAACACGAUUAGGGAGAGAAAGCCUGGCCUGGUCCAAGGUCCAAAGUGACCCUGAUAUGGGCGGCUGCAGACUCGGGACCCCCCCAGAGAAGCACAUGUCCAGGGCUCCUGGCUGUUCCAGGGAAACUCCUCUCCCCUCCCCACUGCAUAAGGAUCCUCAACCUCAUUUUCCACCCGUCCCUGAGCUGUGGAUGGCUCCCUGGCCUCAGUGGCCUCCUUCUCCUCUGAAUUUCCUAAAGACGCAGUAACAGACCCCAAUGUAUACAUGUGGGGAGCUUGCAGACUCAGGGUCUUGGACAGCUGUGGGUACAAAAGCCAUACCUGCUCCUCACCUUGCAAAGUGGCAGAACCCAGUCCCGGGCCACCCAGAUAGUGCUGUGACCCUGCUCUCCACAGCUCUGUCCCCAGCUGCUGAGCAGAGAAGCUGCCGUGAAGCUUAUGCAGGAGUUACUGCCUGUGUCUCAGGGUCCCCUGCACCUUCUUUCCCCAACAAGGUUACAAAUGGCGGGUAGAAAUCUGACUUCUCCAACACAGGUGUUUGGAAAUCAGUAUCAGUCCAGCUCUUCUGUUUCUGUAACUUGAGACUCAAAUAGUCCGGAUGAUCCCUGACCAUUUUAAAUGAUGAAAGGGGCCAAGUAGCUUAACAAGUGUGAACCCUGGACUGUGGGGCAGGAGGAAGUGCACUGUGAUCCAAGCACGUCCCUCAUCUGUGCACGGGUUGGACCCACGGCCACGAGGCCUCCGGGCCCAGUUAGGGGAAGGUGUGGGCGUGAUUAGUCUUUAGAGGUGUGAGCAAUAGGCAUUAGGGUUGGCUUCGCAGGGAGGGAGACGUCUGAGGGGGUCUAGUCCCUGAGUCAGAACCUCAACUAGAGCACAGUGGAUUGUGGGGGGUGAGACCCGAGCCUUGGAGGGCGUGGAGCGCAGCUGGGUCUGGUCUGGAGUGAGCUGGGACCACUGAGCUGAGGUGACUGGCUCGAGGUGACUCCUGGUUUGCGUGGCUAAGUGUGAGCGGUGGGUCCAGAUUGUUUGCUAAGCCUUGGUUUUGAGCCUGGGGAGCUGAGAAGUGGGGAGAGUGGGGGUUCAUCUGAGGUGUGGGGAGAUGUCUGUGCAGAGAUGCCUGAUGACCAGCCGCACUUUCAGGUAACCUGGGCUGGAGAUGGGGGCCCCUGGAAGACAGUACCUGGAGGUGCUGGGCGUGGGACAGUGAAGGGAGAGUGGACAGGGUGGAGGGGGAGAGCUUAGGUCCAGACCCAGGGGCAGGGGCCCAAGGUUGAUGAAGAAGGAGCAGCCUCAGAAGAUGGGGGCAGGACAAGGCAGUAAGGGGUGGGAGACUUCAGAGGGCAGGGAAGAGAGGUGGGGUCACAAAGAUGGCCUUGAGGAACUGGGCAGGGUCAGUGCAGGGGAUUCCAGGGAUAGGAUUAAUGGGGAGAGGCCACAAGGAAGGACAGGGCGGGAGCAAGGCUGGGAGAGGGCUGGGCAUGGGUACAGUCCCAGCUUCCUUGUAAAGAUGGGGAAACUGAGUGUGUGUAGUGCUGCCUAGUCACAGGCCAGGCCCCAAUGCCAUCAUAGUGGGAGCCUCCAAAUUCAGAAGAACUAUGCAGGCAGGGGCAGGGCAAGGCCUGACCCAGGGUCAGAGGGCACUCCAGGGGUCUUCUCCCCGGGAUCCUCUUUAUGUCGUCCUGAGAGCCCCUACCUCCAGCUUCCCAGGAUUACAACAUGCAGGGCGUGGUGCUGUUGAAGUGAGACUUUUUAAAUGGUGAGCGCCAGGAGGGAAACACAUUCUGCCCUGCCCAUGAGACGGCGCUGGAGCUGCUGGAGUGGGUGGCCCCCACCCGGAGAAGGCCCUCUUUGGACAGUUCGAGUGCUCAGAGACCUGCAGGCCAUGGCUCUUCCUGGGGCAUUAAAAAUCCCCCCGCAAGCCCGACAGACAGAAAACCCGGCGCAGGAGCGCCAGAGCGUGGAAACGCGCUGUACCGCAGGCCUGGAUGGGCAGACUGGAGCCCAAACACAGGACCAGGUAUCCGGAGUGAGCGGGCUUCCCCACCGGCACCCGCCCGGCAAGAUCGGGUGACUCUCGGGGACCGGCACGGCCGCUCCGGGCCCGGCCAGGCUCGCGGCCCCUGCCUGAUUCCAGGGCUGGCUCUCCGGGGCUGCGCGCGGUGCUCUCGGACGGGACCGCGGGGCAACUGACACUGAACGCGCCCCUUCCACAGGGAAGACCGCGGAG